UACGGCCGCAUCAUGUAGAAGCAUCGAUUCCCGUUCGACCAAUGACGUUAAGCAACGUUGAAUCUGUUUAGUACCUUGAUGAGUGACUCCUUAGGAAUACCAGGUGCUGUAA